rnacentral:sRNA from 1 species
UUAUACCAGGAAACAGACAAGAGAACAAGAGGCUGCCGAAGACAAAACUUCUCUGCAAGCACCUGUGCACAGCAAUGUGCGUGGGCAUCUGUGAGAAGAAGAGAAUCUGUGAAGUUUGAGCAAGCGGCCUUCCCAAGAUGUACCGAAUAUCUCAACUGAUGUCAACACCAGUAGCAAUAGAAGUGUCUUAAUAUGCACUAAUGAGGGAGAGUCUAGAACAAUGAUUGAAUUCCUCAGAUUACUGAGUUCUUCCAGGUUGGAAAGAGAAUAUGCUGGAGAGCUGUCUCCCACGUGCAUUUUCCCAAGUUUCACCUGUGAUUCCCUGGAUGGUGACCAUUCUUUUGAAUGUGGCUCCAUAGAUCCCCUGACAGGCUCCCACUAUACCUGUCGCCGAAGUCCCAGACUCCUCACCAAUGGCUACUAUAUUUGGACCGAAGACAGCUUCCUGUGCGACAAAGAUGGCAACAUAACUCUGAACCCAUCCCAGACCAGCGUUAUGUACAAGGAGAACUUAGUUAGGAUAUUUAGAAAGAAAAAGAGAAUCCGCCAUUCCUUUUCUUCUCUCUUCAACCUCAGUACCUCCAAAUCUU